GGGUGAUGCCUGCCUGGUGCCAGCCUUGAAGAAACCCCGUGGCUCCUGACAGAAGGGCAGAACCUGAUACCUGGGUUUGACUAAGAGCAAAAAAGAGCAGCUCCCACAGCGCCCAGUGCCUGGCAUGUGCUCCACAGACACACGAAGAAAUGAAGGCGGGUACAGGAGAGGAAGGGGACAAGAGGACAGAGGAAGGUCAGAAUGGCCUGCUUCACCAAUUGCCCCCUGCCCUGCCAUCCACCGCCAACUCCAGGCCCCACGAUGGCCCACCAGGGCACCAGACCAUGUGCAAGGUGGGCAGCAGGCUGGGUUUCAGGCAGAGCGGAGGCCCGCUGGGCUCCUCGAGGUCUGGCCUCGCCUCAGGCCUCCGCCCAGGAUGUCUGAGAGAUGCCCAGCGUGGGUGGGUGCUCCCUCCCCCCUGCCUCCGCUCCUCCUCCUCCCCGGAACUGCCGCCUCCUCCGCCUGAGUGGCUGAUGCCCUCUGGGUUCUGUUUUCAUUCCAGGCUGUGGAUCCGGUCGUGGGAAGCAGCUUUCUGUGCCUCAGCCCUCCACAGAGAAGACUGCUAGGCCUGAGCUGACUCCCCUGGAAACCCCAGACUCCAGUGACGUGCUUCUGGAACCUGCUCAGACAAAGUUAGGUAAGAGCCUGGGCAGUGGGUGGGUUGCAACACCCAGCCUGGCUGACCAGAAAGCUGAAGAGGACUGGAAGUUCAAGAAGAAGUAGAGAGGAGGUGGAGAGAGAGAAAGGGCAGAAGGAGGAGACAUCGAAGACCUCCCGAACAUCUUCUGUGGGAUCUCAGAGAAGGCAAAGCUCACCCUCCUGACUCCAGGACUCAUUUGUGUCCAGCCACUGAAUUAUCUACUUGUUACCCCUCCUGUGGAUCUCUCCCGAGGGAAAGAUCUACCUUGGAAGGCUGGUAAUAAAAGGUAAUAAAAGAUCUCUAAGGCAGAAAUUGCUAGUCAGGGGGUAAAGAACUGAAAUCUGACCAACCAGAAGAAAGGAAAGACUGCAAUUCCUUACUCCCAGGCCUGUCUGUCUUUCUCUAUGAGUCUGUAUUUAUUUCUCAUAUGCUUGACUCUCUCUGCUUCCCACCUCCUAGUUUUCUCAAAGGGGCCAAGCUUCUGGGCACCCGCACACUCUGUGAGCUAGAGAUGCCGACCUGAGGACUAGCAUUUCCUGUAUGCUGAUGAAUGUCCACCCCAAAGAGCUCCAGCGCAAGGGUCGCCCUGUCUACUGGGUUAUCCCCAAUCCCUCCCUGUCUGCCCAGCUUCCAUGCCUCAUCAGCAGGGAUUCAAAAACACGUAUUUGUCAGACAAGUCCUGGGAUCACAACCUUAGGAAAGGAUGUGCAGAGCCAGCCACUGACAAAAUUGUGAAAUCAAAUGAAUUCCCACAAAUCUGCUUCUCUUGCAUUCCUUAAGCUCAGUAAAUUGCACCACCUUCCACCAGUUUUCCAGAAACCAAAAAUCAUCUUUAACAUCCAUUCAAUCUGCCACCUCCUAUUUAUCUCCCAAAUAUAUUCCUACAAUCUUGCCACCCCCACUAUCACUGCCCUUGUGGGGCCUUGCCAUGUCUCACUCAGAUUACUGAAAUUCUCUCCUAGCUGGUAACCCUGGUUUUGUGCAACUCUUCUUCAUUCCAUCCUCUGUAGUUUAGCUAGAGAAAUAUUUCUAAAAUGCAUAUAUAGAAAAUAAUUCCACUUGCUGUAUGCAAUUUUUUGUCGUCCAUCCGCUAACUAGAGGACAAAGUCUGAGUUUGUUUGCAAGCACAAAGCUUUCCAUCAGCUGAACCCAGCUUGUCUACCACCAUUUUCCUGGUCUCCAGCCAGGACUGGUGACAGUUCCCUCAACAGGUCCUGCUGGAAGAUUCCAGUCAAGACAGAGUGCUAAAAUUGGUGUAGCCACUAUGGAAAAC
ensembl:lncRNA